UACGGAGGGGGCCAGCGUUGUUCGGAAUUACUGGGCGUAAAGCGCACGUAGGCGGCUUUGUAAGUCAGAGGUGAAAGCCCGGAGCUUAACUCCGGAAUUGCCUUUGAGACUGCAUCGCUUGAAUCCAGGAGAGGUGAGUGGAAUUCCGAGUGUAGAGGUGAAAUUCGUAGAUAUUCGGAAGAACACCAGUGGCGAAGGCGGCUCACUGGACUGGUAUUGACGCUGAGGUGCGAAAGCGUGGGGAGCAAACAGG
rnacentral:rRNA from 1 species